AUGAACGCUGGCGGCGUGCUUAAGACAUGCAAGUCGUACGAGAAAGUCCCGCAAGGGAUAAGUACAGUGGCGCACGGGUGAGUAUUUCUUCGGUAACGCACCUCUUUGCUGGGGAUAACCAGGCGAAAGCUUGGCUAAUACCGAAUGUUUCGGACGAAGCUUCGGCUUUGUUCGAAAAAGCCGAAAGGCGCGAAGAGAGAGGCCGAAGCCCUAUCAGCUAGUUGGUAGAGUAAUAGCCUACCAAGGCUUUGACGGGUAGCUGGUCUGAGAGGACGAUCAGCCACACUGGUACUGGAACACGGACCAGACUCCUACGGGAGGCAGCAGUUAGGAAUCUUGCGCAAUGGGCGAAAGCCUGACGCAGCAACGCCGCGUGAGUGACGAAGGCCUUCGGGUUGUAAAGCUCUUUUAGCAGGGACGAAAUAAAUGACGGUACCUGCAGAAAAAGCACCGGCUAACUCUGU
rnacentral:rRNA from 1 species